rnacentral:tRNA from 1 species
GGACGCAUAGCUCAGUUGGUAGAGCAGCUGACUCUUAAUCAGCGGGUCCUUGGUUCGAGCCCA